UUAAAGAUGUGGUAAAGUCCGUUCUGCGCAUAUAUUCUGCGCAUCAAAACAUUCCAUCAGUGGGGGAGCAACCUUUGGAAUGUUGUUAAUAUUUCGCUCUUUCCGAACUUUCUUGAAUUGAAUCUCUAGUCUGUAUUCAUUUACAAACAUAACGAACCAGAAAAGUGUUAAAAAUUCAGUAUAAUAUAUAUCUAAUCAUAUUUUACAACUGUAGCAGUGAGUUCAAAAUGUAAACAAAGCGUUUGUUUACAUUACGGACUUUACAUCACCUUUAAUAGAUUAAAAUAAUUCAAACAUGCAACUGAUUUAUUGUCCCGUAGUUUAAAGUACUAAACAAUGUUAAUAGAUUAAAAUAGUUCAAACACUAAUUGUUCUACCAGUACAACCGUUCAUCAAGUCUCCAGAAUGUUUUUGUAUUUCAAAUGCUUCGACGUAUUUCCUCUACCCGUCGUUCACGAUAUUGGCAUGUAAAAUCUUCCACUUUAUUGUAGGUAACUUUGAUUUCUUGUGGGAUUCCAAAUGUUU